AGUGGCAGUCCUCUAAAAACACUGGAUAUGAGUGUGCAAUAUACCAUCUAAAGCUAAGUGUUAAAAGAUCUCACUUCAGUCACUGUACUACUGCACAUGAUAACCACAUUUAAAGGAAUAUUUUAAUCUAAUUUUGAUUUUCAUGUUUUUCAGGAACCGACAAGUCGGAAUGUCUGAGAAGAUCAAGUGUGCUACAGCACUGAUGAUGAGCUGGAUACCAGUUUAUGUGUUAAUUUCUUUCAAGGACGGGACCAGAUGUGUUUGGAGUAGAGGACAAUGCUGACGACUGAAGAAGCAAAGGAAGAAGCACAUUAAAGCACUGAGGGUGUCCAGCCUGUUUGCCGUGUCAGAUCCAGUGGCUAGAUGGCAGGAGAUGCCUCAUUACACCACUGAUCACAUCUAAUCAUUAGAUGAUCAAUUAAUUAAUUUUAAUAUAUUUAUAAAUGAUCUUAUUAUCAUAUUAAAUAAUAGGUUUCAAUUUAAUAUUUCAUAUAUUAGCUUAAAUAAGAAUGUUAUUAUAAUGUGUACGCCAUGCCAGAGGAGGAUG